CCCCCCCCCACAAAAAAUUUUUUAUAUUGGAGGGCAAGUCUGGUGCCAGCAGCCGCGGUAAUUCCAGCUCCAAUAGCGUAUAUUAAAGUUGUUGCGGUUAAAAAGCUCGUAGUUGGAUCUCAGCUCACGCUAAGUGGUCCACUUAAUGGUGGUUACUACUUAGCUGAGCAUUUUACAGAUUUGUCUCUUGAUGCUCUUCACCGAGUGUCAAGAGUGGUCUGUACGUUUACUUUGAAAAAAUUAGAGUGCUUAAAGCAGGCAACUCGCCCGAAUAAUCUUGCAUGGAAUAAUGGAAUAGGACCUUGGUUCUAUUUUGUUGGUCUCCGGAAUCUGAGGUAAUGAUUAAGAGGGACAGACGGGGGCAUUCGUAUUGCGCCGCUAGAGGUGAAAUUCUUGGACCGGCGCAAGACGAACUACAGCGAAAGCAUUUGCCAAGAAUGUUUUCAUUAAUCAAGAACGAAAGUUAGAGGUUCGAAGGCGAUCAGAUACCGCCCUAGUUCUAACCAUAAACGAUGCCAA
rnacentral:rRNA from 1 species